rnacentral:lncRNA from 1 species
AGCAUCCACAUUUUGGAGGGCUUAUUACCUGAAGAACCAUUUUCCUUUUGUUAUAUCCAGUGUGUAUAAUUAUGUUUUCAGAAAGCCUCUGUUUUGGAACCCUUCCCUCGCUGACCUGCCACCUCGUUGUAAGCCGUACCCAGCAGCGUCUCUUUAUCAAAGGACCUGAGCGAAGGCAUCCUAGAGGACUGGAUUUACCAACUGUGAUAGCUAAUCUUGUUUGUCAACCUGACUAUAUGUGGUAAGACAAAAUUGAGCACACUCAAGGAGGUAUGGCUGUAGACUUGACUACAUCUGGAACCAACUAAAACCCAAGGAGCUGGGAGAGCCUGCCAGGGAUUUUCUUGACAGCAUUAUUUGACGAAGGAAGACUCAUCCUAAAUCUGCGCCACUCCUGAUGGCAGCCCACAUAAAAGGACCAGGAAGAAAAAUGGCUUUUGCUUUUUGCCUGCUUGCCCUCACUCUCACUGAUAAAUUCAUCUAUCCUUGCUGCUGAGGUGUUCCUUCACUGGUAUUAGAAACCACAUCUUCAGGAUUCCAACAUAGACUGAAGACCAGCACCUUUCUAAGAACCCUCCAGGACUCCAAUGCCAGAUUGGGAUUGCUGAGACAUCCAGUCUCAUGGACUGAAUAACUACCAGAUUCACACCUUUCCAUCCAAGGACAGCCGUUGUUGGACUAGCUGGACCACAGCCUGUAAGCCACUCUAAUCACACACACACACACACACACCACACACACACCACACACACACACACAGAGAGAGAGAGAGAGAGAGAGAGAGAGAGAGAGAGAGAGAGAGAUUCUGUUUCUUUAGAGAACCCUGUCUAAUAUACCAAAAUACCCUUUUAUGUAGGGAGCCGUCCCUGCAUUCUCCAUUACAAGAUGGCGCCUGCAUCCGGCAGGCACCGAAUGUAAACAAGAUUAUUGCGCAGGCGCUGGGUAAUUUUCCAUUCCUUGAUCUCUGCCUAUUCCGUGGCGUCAUAUGGCCGGAUGAGCUGCAGCCAAUCAUGGGGUGACACGUCCAAGGCGGCGGUUGCCCUCCUUUAUUAGGGGACGGGAUUCUUGGCUCAGGGUCUCCGCUCUGGUAAGCUUAUGCUCUCCUCUCAAGACGCAUUAAAGCUUUCCUGCAGA